AGCAUCUUGGUGUGGUUUUCUCCAAAAAAACUUGAAAGUAUUCUAACUUGUGCAAGUAGUCUCACAACCGGGAAAGGAAAAUCCCCUAAAAAGUAUCCCUCCGUCAUGAAAGAUAUGUGAAAGUCUUUGUAGUGAGAGUAUAGCUUAGAUUUAUCCAUUCUUGUAUGGUCAUUUUGUAUAGAUUGGUCUGCCGCUGUUUUUAAGAGCCCUGUAAUCGCGCUCCUCAGCGUUUCAGGAUCAUCACAGGAAACAAGUGCAGGGGAGCCAUUAUUGUUAAGCAGAUUGGUGAGCUUUUUAAUGAAACCGAUGGGUGUGCCUGAAGCAUUAGACAGUUCCCGUGUUGUUUUAAAAAAUACGUGACAAUCUGUCACUACUCAUAUUUAACACACGCAGCCAAUAUUUCAGGGUUAAUUUUAAAGCUGUUACACUCAAUGAGAUAUGACCGGUUUCUAAUCUGAAUAUGUAGCCUGGAGUGUAUCUGGGCAGAUUGAAUAUUGAUAGAUAGAAUAAUAGAAGACAUCAAUAAAAAAUAUCAAAAUAAUACUUUGUUUGAUUCAGAGUGCAAAACCAGGAAACCAGAUUUAUAACAUUGUCAUAUAUAAACCAAAGGUUGCAAGAAAUUUCACCAAUAUAUUAAAAAUAUAUAAAAAUUGCAUGGGAACUUGUAACACUGAGAACUUUGAGUGUUGUAGCGCAAGAGAAUAUCUAUACUUUUAUAAUAACUUAUUUCAACACCACAUCAAACCUCUUUCUCAAGUUGCAGAGCCAAUGUGGAGACACCAAUUAAUACAAGUGGCAAUUUGGGCCUUUGUAGACAAAUGUUGGUUGUACCUACACUCUAUUGUUACCUUUGGUAUUUUACUCACCCCAACUAGAAGACUGUUCAGUGAAACCAAUUCUGUGGUUCCAGACUUCCAUCAAUGGUGGAGGAUACAUAAGUUUGCCAGGCCUGGACAACUGGCAGAUUCCACCCAGAUGUUGGAGCUAGAGCAUCAGUCUGAUGGCAAGUCUCUUUUUAUUGCUCUCAUUUCUAACCUUUUGUUAUCACAAUGUCAUGUGUCUCUAACCAUUUGUCUUCUUCUUUCUUAUCUCAUAACCAUUUGUCUUCUUCUUUCUUAUCUCAUAACCAUUUGUCUUCUUCUUUCUUAUCUCAUAACCAUUUGUUAUAAUAUCUAGUGGGAAUUUAUUAAGAGAGUCCCAAUUUAUAAACUGAAAGGUGUCUAGGGUAGAAAGGGGAAAUUUUUUCCAGAUUCUUAUCUUUGUUGAUAGCAAUUCCAGACAGUCCAGUUUCAAGUUGGCUACUGUCAGUGUAAAUUGUGAUGUCGAAGAGGGAGCUAUUUUCCUCAAUGAUUUGGAGGCCAAGAGCUUUAAGUAAUUCUGGCUGAGUUUCAUGUUUGUGGGGAUUGGCUGGUAGAUGAGGGAAACAGAUGAGUUUGUUGAGAGUUCUGUGUGGGGGAUAGGAAGUUCUGUGUUUGGGAUUAAUUGGGAUGUCUAAGAGAUUAGAGUUGUGAGCCAUGUUGAGAGGAGUUGGGUGUUUUAGUCUUUGAUUUGGGACCCAAUUUCUAAAAAUUUUCCUAUAAGAUGUUCUUCUGGAGAGUUUUUGGUUAUGAAUUUUGAAAAGCAGGUUUUUCUCCUUAGGUGCAGGGAAAGAAGGUUGUAUUUGAGUUCAGCAAUGCGAUUUGGGCAAGAUCCUUGAAGCCCCCUGAUGAUUUGAGCUGCGCUUGGAUUCUGGAUAUAUUGGUUUUACUUGCAUUGAUCCAGGCUGGUGUAGCAUAUUCCAAAAUAGGUCUUACGAGUGCAAGGUACGUUGUGCGUAAGAUAUUGGCAUUUGCACCCCAGUUAAGCUUGAUAUUUUAUUCAGGAUUGUGAAUCGGCUUUGUUUUAUCAUGGUGUCACUAUGUUUUUUAAAAGUCAGAGCAGGGUCAAGACACACCAAGAUAUCUUGGGGAACCGGAAUAUUGGAUUAUUGAGUUGUUCAAUGAAAUAUUUGGGGUCCACUGGCGAAGGUGGUUGUUGAUGGUGAAGAGGCCAAUUUCAGAUUUGCUGAUGUUUAUUAAUAAUUUCAGUUUCUCUGUUAUCUUUUGCAGAUUUUUCAUGGCUUUAUUCAGAGAGAGUUCUGCAUCAGAGAGGUUGUUUUUGGAGACCCAGAUGAUUCUGUGUAAAGGGCAAAUAAGAUGAUAAUUGAAACUGCUGAUAAUUGGGAUAUAUGAUAAUUGUGACACCAGAUAAUUAGGACUAAUUAUGUCUUCUUCUGUCACCCAAUCAUGAUUAUAUUUGUGACGCCUGAUAAUUGUGACUCCUGAUAUUUGAGACUGCAGAAAUGAUCCCUAAUAAUGUGAAACAUUCCUUUAUACUGGAUUCCAACAAUCAUUGCCAGGACCUGUUUGUUGCAGCACUACUAUGGAGCCUUCACAUGGAGCUCCUGCCAAGGAAACAAGACUGCUACCAAGGUUCCCUCCUACACCUUCACUUAUCCCAGAGAGGGUUUUGAAGGUCAGAUCCAACCUAUGGUAUAUUAAAUCAAUAAUUUCAGCAAGCAGCCAAUAGAGUUCCUAUGCAGUAGCUUCCUACUGAGUGAUGAUUUAUGAUGAGUGACAAGAAGCACUGUCAAUAUUCACACCGCCAGGCCACAGUCCUAAUAUGAAAUUCAGCAACUUGCUACGCUGAGCCUUACACACCAUUUUUAAACUUGGCUCAUAUUUUAUUACAUAUGUACACCCCUCUUUUUUUUUUUUUUUCAGAACUUAUUUGGCAAAAAAAAUGAUACUCACACAAGCACUCUAUGGUAUAUUGCACCAAUAAUUGCAUCAAGCAGCCAAUAGAGUUCCUAUGCAAAGAUUUCCCAGGAUUUAAUCAACCCUGAAUGCCAUCAGGUGUUGUUCCACCAUCUAAUAACAAUAGUCCAUCAUUGAGGUUGGGUUGGUUGGUCCUCUGGUAGGUCAAGCUCCUGGCUGACAUGAGUGUAUUGUGAGGAUUAUUACAAGUUCUCUUUCAUUGGACGUCAGGAAGUUUCUCUGCUAUGUCCACAAAAGGUAACUUGCCCCGUUGAUCUAGCAGAUGUCUUUGAUUAUUGGAGCUCUUUGACAGGCCCAUACCACUAAAAGGAUUCCCUAGAUAAAACUUGUAGGAAUGUAUUUUAACUGUGCACACACAUAUUGUGAAAAUAUACAAGAAUGGAACAUAGCAUUUGUCCAGAAAGUAGGUGGUGUUAGGGGGGGGUCUACAUAUUAGUAGAAAAACCAGGUAGCUCUCAUUAAAUCCAAAGGAGAAAGGACAGGGCAUAUUUUAUCCAUUAUUUAUAAGCCAAUAUAGAGCAGUAAAACUAUCUUUGACCUAUCAGAACAUGUAAGAACUAUAAUAUAUAUUACCUGUGCUAUACACACCUUCUCAUAGUAAUAUUUCAACCAAAUUGUGGACAACCUCCAGGUGAGGCUGGGUUAGGCCUUUCAUGGGUGGAGACUUGUGCAUUGUAUAGAAAUCCAUAAAGUAAUGUUCACCUAUUUCUUUGACACCUGAAGUGUUAUUAUGGAGACCUAUCUGUAAGUUGUACAUCUUUAAUUCCUGUAAAUAAUUUCUUGAAAUCUCUCUUUUCCAGAAUCAUACUUGCAAUAUAUGUUCAAUAUUUAAAUGAUUUACCUUUCCAUUUUGAAGCUAUAUAGGAAUUUGCUUCAUGUAUAAGCAGCAACCUAUGUAAGCACACCGUAUAUACACUCUGGUGGAAUAGUUCACUAAGGGUGAUGAACGCAUACUUUUUGUCUAAAAAACUUGUUGGAGUAAGACCAAAGCGAGUGUGUAUGUUGUGUGUGGCGGAGGUGAAUCUGUCCCACGCCCAAGUUUUGACAGCCGCGCAAGGUGGUAGCAACUCAGGAGAUCAGAUUUCUCUACUCUUUUGGCGAGCACUUCGACGACAUCGUUAUUAACGAUCCCACUGUGGCCUUUAAUCCAUCGUAUGGAACACCUAUUCAUGUUGCGGUUCAGUUAUGAAAUCAGCCACAAACCCUGUUGACCAGGAGGUUGCCUGAGUUAAGAACGGAUUUCAAAAAUGAAAGGUUAUCUAGGAGAACUUCAAUAUUAAUAUUUUCAGGAAGCUUUGAGGCAUCCUCAAGUGCUUUAAUCAAGCCUAGUGCCUCCGCUUGGAAGACAGAACAGUACAGGGACAGGACAAAACUCUCACGCAAUUCAUUCAUGGAGCCAUUCGCACACACUCAAUAUAGGCCUGUGCCAACUCCAGUUUUCGUCUUGGAACCAUCUGUGUAGUAGGUGACGUCAGCCGAAAGAUCAGGAAUAUUAAUGGGAGCGGAGUAAUAGGGAGGAUAGGGAAGUGGGUGAGAGCAGGGAGGAGGCUCGACUGGAAAUUCAGCGUCAACAAAACUGCUUUUUAAACUACAAUUCCGCCUUGGCGCGACAUCCAGAUCGAGAGGGAGAACACGGGAAAGAGAGAUGAGAGAGCUAUUGUCAGUUGUUUCAAACGCGCGGCAUGUCCUGAUGAGGAACGGGCGCUGCGCGCUUAAGAGAGUGUUUAAGGAUCGUUGUUUAAGAUUAGAAAACCACACAGGAGAAGCGUAAGAAAUGGCUGGAACCACAACCUGUAGAUAAAGCAUCCUCAGGGCACGGAAUCCAAAGCUAAAGUUGGAGCUGGCAGCUGCUGUCAAACGCGGGAGAAAACCGCGGACUCUGGUGCAAACCUCUACCACAUGCUGGUUGAAGGUGAGACGCUGAUCAAACCUUACUCUCAGCACUUUGAGGCGCUCCAUUGAAUGGGUUGACCAUUAAUGGUCAGAUUGCAGCUAGGCUUUAGUUGUCUGCCAGAAGGUCUUAGAAGGAGCAUGGUCUGACACUUCAUCACGCUAAGUUCCAGUUUAUGCAGGCCACACCACCUCGUGAUCUCGUUAAUGGCAAGUUGCGCCGCUCCAAGUUGAUUAGCAACUUGGCCCGCCACCACCACAACAAGAUCGUUGGCGUAGGCCUGCGGGUGCACGCAAUUUCUAAAGUUGAGCGUGAGGAGCUCGUCAAAGACAAGGUUCCAAAGAAACGGCCCAAGAACUGAGCCCUGUGGGCAGCCCUUGGAAACCUGUCUCGUGACCGUGCAACCAUUCAUUGACAGUCUGACAACACGAUUAUUGAGGAAGGAACAAAUUAAAACAAACAAGUUCUUUGGACAGUCAUUCAUACAUAGAGCUCGCAAUAUGCUGGAGUGUAGCACAUUGUCAAAGGCACCUUUCACAUCAAAGGAAAGAAGAAUAGAAGAUUUCUCGCCCUCCUCCCACGUGAUCGUGCCGUGUUGACAACAUGAGCAAGUUAGCGUCAAGGAAGUUUUCGACAAUUUCUCUUUUGGAGCAUUUGUAUUUAAGCAACCACGCUUUAUUUGACCAUCUAUAGGAUUCAAUAUUAAAGUCGCCACAACCACAAAAAAUUACCUCAUGGAAAUUAAUUGUUUUUAACCGGUCGAUUUCACCCAGUUCCCCACCUAGUCCUACACCAACUUCAUAUUGUAGGAUCUGCCUAAAGCUUCGGGUUUCAGGACAGUGGUGUCGGGUGGAAGGGAAAGGGAGAAGCAGAUCUCAUAGUGGUCGGAAAGGUCGGUAGGGUAUGAGGUCCACCCGGAGACGGAGGAGAGGAUAGAGGAAGAGACGCUGGAGAUGUCAAUGGAGGAGGAGCUGGAGCCCUGGGAGCGGGUGAUAGCUCCCCAGGUGUUACAGACCUUGAGGUCGAGGGCGUCGAGAAGGGUGUUAAUAAGAGAGCCUUUAGAGUUUUGUUUUUGUGAGCUCCAGCGGGAGGAAACAGCGUUGACGUCUCCAGCGAAGAGAAGGCGGGGAGGGGGUGGGGAGCCAAAGAAGGAGAUAAAGGAGUCGACGAUGGGGGAGUAAGAAGUGUGGUGGGGGAAGUAUACGGAGCAGAGAGUAAGGUGAAAGCCGGGGAUGUCAAGGAUUGCAAGGGUGCGGCUGGUGGCGGAGAGUCGUGGGAGGAAAAUGACGGGAAGGCUUUGGUUAAGAACAAUUAUACAGGUGUUACACCGGUUGUUAGCAGCGGUUGUUAAAUUUAGGUGAAGUUUUUUUUUUUUUUUUUUAUGCAUUAUUUUUGAUGUUUUAAAAAAAAAAGAAUACAAACAUUGAAAAGUGCAUUUAUUUACAAUAAAGAAUACAAACAUUGAAAAGUACAUUUAUUUACAAUAAAGAAUACAAACAUUGAAAAGUACAUUUAUUUACAAUAAAGAAUACAAACAAUGAAAAGUAAAUUUAUUUACAACAAUGAUUUACAACAUGAUGGUGAAAGAUAAACAGUACACAGAAGGAUUGACAAGUCAUUCACUUCACACAGGACAAAUACAGCAUUCACACAAGACAAGUGUAUGAUUUUUAAAUUCGGAUUUGCUAUUAUUACAGCUGCUCCCAAUUUAUUUUCGAUUAUUGGACCGUGACAAACCCUGUCAAGGGGCACAGGUAGUGAUGGUAAAUUGUUUUUGGAAACUGGGAGUUCUUGCAACAAAAGCACAUCCGAUUUUUCCUCGCGACAUUCAUUCAACAAGGAGUACAAACAUUAUGGAGAGCGUCUUACAUUGGCUUGAACACACUUAAGAACGUUCAUCGCACCAACAAUUUAUUGAAAUUACCCUGUGCCUCCCGCAUGUGUUUGCACGCCAUGGAGUUGGCACUGUGUUUGUCGCCACACCUGUGACAUUUCAAUGCUGUUUUAUUUUCACAGGUUUCGGAAAGAUGUGCACCAGCGCAGUGGCUACAUUUAGCCGCCCUAGUGCACUUCUUUCCGUUGGUGUGGGUCCUGUGACUUAAACUGCCACAGACACCACAUGGGAAGACGCGCUUUGCUCUAGCGAGAGGAAGGCAGUCUCAACUUCCUUGUUUACUUCCACUAUCGCGGUGGAGGGGGCACCCUCUUUCCUAAUUAGUUUCACCAUCCUGAUGUCUUUGCCACUUUUCAGCAGCUUUUCGACAGCGGGAUGGUUACUAAUAUCAGCCACAAGCUGCUCCUCAGUUUUCUCUCCAGGAAUACCGAAGAUAGCAAGCCACAUUCUUUAAACAGGGAGUUUGGGUGAUUUUUGCCCUGAUUUCACUAACAGACAGCUCCGCAUGAUUAAUGCUGUUACGCAGCAUAUGCACGUAACUUGGUCGUGUAGGUUUGGUUGGCUUAACACCAACAUUGGGUGGUGGUGCAGGUUUGGCAUUUUUAGCAGAGGCUGCGUAUUGCGCCCUAAUCUCAGCAAUUUUAAGAUCGCAACCCUUCAACCCAGUUCCCCACCUAGACCUACACCAAUUUCAUAUUGUAGGAUCUGCCUAAAGCUUUGGGUUUCGGGACAGGAGAGGGUGGUGUUGUCAAUUAGAAGAUGGGGAGGUUUGCAGAAAAUGGGUAGAACUGAUGAGCUGAAUUUCUGACGCUAUCGUCCCGAAAUCCAUGAGCCCCUUUCAUUCUCAGGGAGUUCACGAAAAUAAUACAUCCUGCUAUAUAAAAGGUAUAAUUUACAUGUGUCCUGCGCGCACUGGGGUUAAAAAAAAAAAGAAUGACAGGCAACUAUAUGUUUGGAUUAAGAUGACAAUAUAUUUAUUUAUUUCUUAGAACAGUCAUACAAAGAUAAGAAUAAAAUAAAUGAAACGGGCAAUGAGGAUUGAGUGGGAGAAUUUACAAGAAUAUACUUAUUAAAAAAAAUCAUUAUUGGAAGAUACUUAACUUUAGUGCUUCAGCUGGAUGGCUUGGAAAUCCCUCCCCUAAAAUCUUGUAGAACUACAUUUUUUGUGAUUUUUUACGAGCUUUUCUAUCCUAUCUUAUCUCUAAGACCGACUCUCACUAAAGCUUGCUCGUGACUAACUUUUUCUCCCCAGGGUGACCGAAAAAAAAAAGAAUUAAUAAUAAAUCUUUAUCUGGUCACCCUCUGUGAUAAAAAAAAGAAAUUUUUAAAAAUAAAAAUAAAAAAAUUAUAAUAAAAAUUAUCAUUCGGAAUAUUAAUUUUAAAAUAUAAAAAAAAAAAAAAGAAAACCCAAAUAGCUGCUUAUUUAAAAGAAAAAUGAAAUUUAUUAUAAUUUAUAUACAAAAAUUGGAGAUAAAAAGGAGGUGAAGAGAUGGGCUGGUUUGACAAAGAAGAAUGCUCGAAGUCCGCUUCUUUCUUGUCGAGGCAGCUUCUUCAUUGUCCACCAGCUUUCCAUUGAUACUGUGGGUGAACUUUAUGGAGGCCCCAGAAGUGGCCUCUACAGAACCAGGGAACUCCAGGGAGGAGACGGCAUUGACAUCUCCAGCGAACAGAAGGCGAGGAGGAGGUGGUGCGCCGAAGAGAGUGAGGAAGGAGUCUACUAUGGGGGAAUAAGAAGCUUUGUGUGGGAAGUAAACAGAGCAGAUAGUGAGAUGGAAGCCUGGGAUGUCGAGAAUGGCGAGGGUACGGUUGGUGGUAGAAAGGCGAGGGAGGAAGACCACAGGCAGGCUCUGGUUAAGAACCAUGAUGCAGGUGCUGCACUUGUUCUGUGUGAUGGGAGCGUGAAGGAAAGAGGCGGAGGGGAUUGGGAAGGGAGAGGCGAGAAGGCCUUUACGGACCGGCAGUUCUUGAAGCAGGAGGAUAUCUAUGUGAGAGGACUACGCGGUUUCGAGAAUAGAGAGGAAGCAGGGGAGGGAACGGUUGCAAUUUAGCUGCAGGAACCUAAUCAUGGGAUUCCAUGCGUUGUGAGGAAGGCAGACUCUGCCGCCUUAAUGAUCGGGCAGGCAAGGGAAUCCGCCCGGUGUUGGUUGUUGCUGCUGCACCGGAAGCAUCUAGGGGGAGAGGAGAUUGCUGCGCAGUCGUUGAUGGUGUGGCCCUCCCCACAGUGCAAACACUUGGCCCGUUUGGGGCAGUCGUUGUGUUGGCGUAGGUUGCCACAGGAGCGGCAAGGGUGCGUUGUUCUUGUUCGCUCGAACCUGAUAGAGCUAAAACCAAUGAAGAGGCGAGAACGCGACUGGAGGUCCCUGGCUGUAGCGGUGUCAGUCUAUGAUGGCGUGUUUGUUGUUGUUGCGCGCAGCCAUUGUACGGACUAGCCUACAGCCGGCGCCCACGGAUUGGUUGAGUAGUGUGGGAAGGUCGUUUAUUGGGAGAGUCGGGAAUGUUAAAGAGGGUAUAGCGUGGUUUGAAUGUAGGGGACAGGUGCACCUUGAUGUUUGUUCCCCUAGUGGCCUUUAUCAGUUUUGUAUAGAUGUUUGUCAUGUUGUUUUUAGUGUUUGUAUGUAUGGUUAGUUUGUUGCGUGUGCGGUGUAUGUUGGUGAUUGGUGUGGUGGGCGUGGUAAGGGAGGAGAUGAAAAUUUUUGUGUAUAGUUUGGUGUCGAUGGGGGUGUUGAUGGAGGGGUCUUGGGUGAUUAAUAUAUGGAAGGGGUUGUUGUGGUUGGAGGGGGGUGUGGGGCGGUGGGAUGGGAAGUGUGUGGUGUGGCGGGAGGAGGGGAUGGGGGGAGAGGGAGUAGCAGAAGGGGGAAGGGAGGCGGCUCUGGCAAAAGAGUCAGGAGAGGAUUUGGGGAGGAGGGGGUGGGCAGGGGUUGAGGGAUAGGGGGAGAUAGAGGAAGAGGGUUAGGAGGGGAAGGAUGAGGAGUUUUAGGAGGAGGAAUGGGGGGGGUUAGGGUGGUAGUGGAAGGUUCAGUGGGGUGGUGUGAGGGUGGUUGUGUAAGUUUGUAUGUGAGGAUGUUGUUGGUGUGGUUGGCCUCUAUGAGGCGCUGGUUGUAUGUCUGUGUGAGGUGUGUGAAUGUUAUGUCGAGGGUGGUUCUGAAUUGGUCGGCGAUUGAAGGGGUGAGACCAUGUGAGAAAGGAGGUGGGAGUUGUUGUUGAUGGGGAACAGAUUGCAUAACAAUGGGGGGGAGUCAAUGGUAUAGUCGGAAUUGCGAAGGUGGUGUGGCUUGUAGGGAGUGUGGGUGGUGGUGACUGGGGGAUGAGGAGGGGUAGGUUCACUCACCCCUGGUUGACCGUUGAGAGGGCCGCCGAUUGUGCGGUCCAGGUGGCUGUCGAAGAUGCUGGGGCGCAGUUCAUCCCUGGAGGAAUCCGCACGAAGGGAGACACCGUUGAUUUUGGCCGUAUCUGACCUAUGACGUCAAAAUGACGUCGCGAUGUAAACAAAGGUUACGACUGGCUCAUUUUUUUUUUUUUUUUCAAAUUCGAUUUAAUUAAUGAUAUUCUAAAUACCUGCGACUAAUUUAUAGUUUCAAUAUAUAUAUAUAUAUUUUUUCUAUAUGACCUGCUAAUUUUAAAUAGAUUUUUUUUUAAAAUAUUUAGCGCAAUUGUAAACACGUGUAUGUUGUGAAUGCACCUUGAGAGCAAUGGUGUCCGAUAUUUAAAAUUAUUAUAAAAUUAAUUAUUAAUUUAAAUAAAUUUCGUUAUUAAUUUAGGUUAGUUUAAGUUCGGUUUAGGUUAGGUUAGGUUAAGGUUCGUUCAGGUUAGGUUAGGUCAGGUUCGCUUAGGUUAGGUUCGCUUAGGUUAGGUUAGUUUAAGUUAGCUUUAGGUUAGGUUAGGUUCAGGUUCGUUCAGGUUAGGUUAGGUUAGGUUCAGGUUUUUAUUAUUUUUAUAUUUUUUUGUAUAUUCCUAUUUAUAAAUAUAAAGUGGAGGUGCAGUCUUGGGGAGAGUUGGUGGAGUCCUCCCUGGAAGAAGAGAUGUCUGGGGGGGGGUGUAGUAUCCAGGAGGGGUGUGGGAGAAGGGGUUCUAGUAGGGGUAGGUCCUCGGCGGGUGGGGGAAUGGUGGACUGGUGCGCUGGGGCGGACAGGUGAGUUGCUGGGCCCGCGGCGGUGUGUGGUGUUGCUGUCGCCUGGAGAGGGGAGCUGGGAGUUCAGCGCGGCGGACGGAGGGACCGCGCUCGUCCGUGUCGAAGUGUCAAAUGGCCGAUUGCGGCCGCCCUGGAGAGCCCGCAUUUUCAUUGGCUGCGGGCAGAAAAAAAUCCGGGAAGGAUAAAUGGCGUAUUGCGGCCGUCCAAGAGAUCCGGGGAAUAAAAAUAAUUUUUAUCCUCUUCUGGUUUUUGGUGGAUUGGGGCUGGGCGCUGGGGAACAGGAGCACAGUAGCACAGGAGACCGGAAGCACUAUAGAAAAUUCCUAUUUAGCCUCCUUGAAUAUGCUGACACCACCAAAAAGAGUGGAUGCCCUUACUUCAGGCAGUAUCCCUGUGCCUUACCACGGGUGGGGGGUCACUAAGGACUGGCAAGAAGCGAUCCUAAUUCAAGGGAAGCUUUUGACUCCAAGAGUAUCCAGAAUCCUUACCACUGGUGGGGGGAAUAUCUGGACUCGUUGAAGUUACAGCAUCAUAUUGGUGCCAUUUUAUAAGGCGCCCCGAAGUCUAAACCUGGGUAGCUGAGAGCCAAUCAAAAUGGAGAGUUGAUGGCGACCGCUUUGGAACGAAUUGCUGACAUUGGGCACUUUUAUCUUUUUCAAAAUUAUUUUAUUUUUUAUUUUUUACCCUGUGUUUUUUGGCUUUUAAUGUGUGAAAACAAUAUAACCACAAGCUUCUCUUCAGUUUUCUCAGCAGGAAUCCCGAAUAUAGCAAGCCUCUGCUUGAAUGUAGGAUUCGUCUGGACUUUAAGUCUACCAAUGUUGGCGGACUUAAUGUUGUCCACAAACCUCUUUUUCUCAGAGGGGUUGGCGAAGUAGUGGACAAGUUUUUUUAUCCCCCCUGUCACCGCGGCUACAUCACAGUUCUUCAAACUAGGAGUCUGGGCGAUUUUUUUGCCCUGAUCUCGCUAACAGUGAGGUCCGCGGAAGCGAGCUUCGCGUGGUUGGUGCUGUUACGCAGCAUAUGCGUGUAACUGGGUUUAGUUGGUUUGACAGGCUUAGCACCUGCGCUGGUUGGCUGAGUGACUUUUGUCACCACUGGGGUUGGUUUGGGAGGUCUGGGAGCGACGGUUGGUUUUUUAGAGGCUGAUAGUUCAGCUUUGAUUUCUGCGACUUUAAGGUCACAGCACUUCAGCUUAUGCUGAAGGAUGCUUACAACAGUGUUUUGGAGCUGGUAGAGCAGACCAUCUAUUUUCAAGUAGAGAUUUUUAUUCUCUGUGGAACCUAGAUACCCGCUGAGCCUUAGCCCUACCUCAUGUUGCAGGAUUUGGCGGCAACCCUUAAAGGACGUGUCGAUUUCACCCAGUUCCCCACCUAGUCCUAUACCAACUUCAUAUUGUAGGAUCUGCCUAAAGCUUCGGGUUUCCUGACAGUGGUGUCGGGUGGAAGGGAAAGGGAGAAGCAGAUCUCAUAGUGGUCGGAAAGGUCGGUAGGGUAUGAGGUCCACCCGGAGACGGAGGAGAGGAUAGAGGAAGAGACGCUGGAGAUGUCAAUGGAGGAGGAGCUGGAGCCCUGGGAGCGGGUGAUAGCUCCCCAGGUGUUACAGACCUUGAGGUCGAGGGCGUCGAGAAGGGUGUUAAUAAGAGAGCCUUUAGAGUUUUGUUUUUGUGAGCUCCAGCGGGAGGAAACAGCGUUGACGUCUCCAGCGAAGAGAAGGCGGGGAGGAGGUGGGGAGCCAAAGAGGGAGAUAAAGGAGUCGACGAUGGGGGAGUAAGAAGUGUGGUGGGGGAAGUAUACGGAGCAGAGAGUAAGGUGAAAGCCGGGGAUGUCAAGGAUUGCAAGGGUGCGGCUGGUGGCGGAGAGUCGUGGGAGGAAAAUGACGGGAAGGCUUUGGUUAAGAACAAUUAUACAGGUGUUACACCGGUUGUUAGAGAUAGGAGCAUGGAGGAGGAGGGGGUGGGAAAUGGGGAGGGAAGGGCAUUGUCAAGGACCGGGAGUUCUUGAAGGAGAAGGAUAUCUAUAUGGGAGGACCGGGCAAAUUGUAGUAAGGAGAGGUAGCAAGGGAGGGAUCGGUUACAGUUAAGCUGUAAGAACUUAAGCAUUUAGGGCAGGUUGUGGGUGCUAAGGAAUGUGGUUUCAGCGCCCUUGAUGACCGGGCAGGAGAGAGAGUCCGCCCGGUGUUGGCCAUUGCCGUUGCAGCGGAAACAUUUAGGGGGGAGGGUGGUGGCGGUGCAGUUGUUGGUGAUGUGGCCUUCGCCGCAAUGGAGGCAUCUGGGGGGCUUAUUGCAAAUUUCAUUGCGGUGGCGGAUGUCACCGCAGUUACGGCAGGGGUGAGUUGAUCUGGUUCUGUCGAACCUGAUUGAGUUAUAUCCCAAAAAGAGACGGGUUCGAGAUUGCAGUUGGGUGGCAGUGUCGGAGUCGGUUUCGAUGACCGCGUGUGUGGAGUUGUUGCAGCCGGUAAAAGUUCUAAUGAGUUUGCAGUCAGUGCCUAUUGAUUGGGUGAGAAGGGAGGGCAGGUCGCUGAGUGGGAUAGUGUUGGGGAGGUUGAAGAGGGUAAAGCGGGGUUUAAAGGUGGGGGGGAGGUUGACGCUGAUGUUUGUGCCGUUGGUGGCAUUUUUGAGCUUGGCGUAGAUAGAGUCCAUGCUAUUUUUGGAGUUAGUGUGUAAGAUGAUCUUGUUACGGGCGCAGAAGAUGUUAAGUGAUUUGGGUGGAGGGAGUAUUGAGGGAGGAGAGAAGGAAAUUUUUGAGUUGAGGUUGUUGUCGAUGGGGGUGCAAGCAGAGGGGUCCUGGGUGAUGAGGAUGUGGAAGGGGUUGGAAUGGGGAGGGGGGCGGCGGGGAGGGUUGGGGGUUGAGUGUCGUGGGGGGGUGGUUGGUGGGGUGGGGGGUUAGCGGGAGGCGGUCGGGAGGCGACCCCGGCGAACGAGUUAGGGAUGGGCAUGAGUGGAGUGGAAUGGGGUGAGGAGCUGGGUACAGGGGUGGGGGAGGAGGAAGAUGGGGAGGCGGGUGAAAGCUGGGGGGAGGAGGAACGUUUGGUGAGGAGGGGGGGUGGAGGAGGCAGGGGGAGGCAUAGGUGGGCAAGGAGAGGAUGCAAGCAAAUUUUGUUUAAGGAGAUGAGUGAGGACGUUUGUGGCGCUGUUGGCCUCGAGGAGGCGUUGCUGAUAUGUGUUGGAGAUGUGUGUGAAAGUUUUUUUGAGGUCAUUGCGGAAACAAUCGGCAAGGGUAGGGUCAAAAGAGUCAGCAUAAGGGGCAAGGAUGUUGUAGGCCCAGGUUAGAUGUAGGAGGUGUGAGGGGUUGUUGGUGGGGAAAAGAUUACAUGUGGGUGGAGGUGAGUCGGGGGUGUAGUGUUGUUGUGGUGGUUGGCGUAGGUGAGGUGGCGUGUGAACAUAUGUAGAUGAGGUAGGGUGAAGAGGGGUUGUUCGUGUUCGUUAAAAAAAAAAAAAGGUGAUCGAUUGAAAGGAAAAACAAUGGGGGAAAUAAAUGCACAUUCACACAGUAUAACAAAAGGUUUUAUUUAAAAAUUAAAACAAAGGGCUAAAAACUAUUAUACUUAUAUAUAAAGAAUUAUGCAUAAAAAACAAGAAAAAAAAAGUCAAGCAAAAAAAGUAAAAUUAGCUAAUCUUAGGGAAGGGAGAUAAAAAUAAGUGGCAGGGGCGAGUGUCGAGCGUUGUGUUUGUACAGUACCUCGGGUGGCAGCACCGUCGCUGGCUUGGCUUGGGUUCCACUUGUCGCGGCUCGUUCGAUGUCCAAGGCGUCCUUUCCGCUCUCAAGUUGCCGCGUGAGGGAUACUCCAAGGUGUCCUUUCCGUCCACGAGACUCUGCUUGUGGGAUAUUUCUUAGACUUCUUUCUGUCCACAAGACGCUGCUUGUAGGAUAUUUCUUAGACGUCUUUCCGUCCACAAGUCGCUGCUUGUAGGAUAUUUCUCUGGCGCGUCUGCUCCGCCUGGCAAGCGAACUCAACUCUCCCCCUGGUCCGCUGCUUCUAACAAAAGAUGAUGCAACAUGACGCGCCGUCCCGGGGCUCGCAGAACAACCAAUCACAUUGCAGGCGUCCACGUGACUGCCUCCCCGGGCAUCUGCCGACCUUUGCCCUGAUCGGCCCCAGCUGGGACUUUCCCCGACCAUGUAGAUGUCUUGACCAUUUCAUUCAUCUUUUCCCCUCGUCUCCCUUCACCUAAGUCCUUCAUUCUAUGUACAAAAGUAAUGAUCGGUAAAAUAGUUUUUACAGGGGUGGAGGACAAUUUGACAAUUAAAACAGACUUUAUUGACGAUCUAGUCAAUAAUUACACUCAAUCAAGAGUUAAUGUGAAAAUUUACAGAUUAGGGGGGGGGGAGCAUUUCGCUGAGUAUGCGUAGGCCCUCACGCACAAAGGGAUCUGAGUUCCGAGCGCAUUCAGAUGCAGCGCUGAUGAUCUCGGCAAGAGUGGUUCUCUUCUGAGUGGAGAGGCGCCUGAGGAGAGGUUCCCUAUCCACGGGGAAAAUAAUCGCCUCCACGAUGUCACCCUCUGUGACUCCUAUGUUGGAUAAGGGCUCCGAGAAGCACUCACGGCUCAACGCAUAUAUAAUAUCGCCUGCCUGGUCGUAGCAGGCAUCUAUGAAUUGGGUAGACAGAGGAGGUGGAGGUGUCGCGAUGUCCGGCGACGUCCUUUCCCCGUGGAGAGCGGGUGGUGUUGGCUCGGCAGGCCGAGUCGCAGGCAGUGGGGGUGUUGGAGGCACUGCGGCUGGUGAGGUUUUCUGCUCCGCCUUGACCUGAUGUAGAACUUUGGAAUUGCCUCCGGGCCUCAGGUCAAGGAGUUGGUUAAUUACACCGGCGAGAGCAUUGCUCUGCGGGGGUGUCAGGAGGGGUCCGCGCUUAUAGGCCCUGGUCUUCGAGGAGAGGAGGUCUAAGACUUUAAAAUCUGUAUUCAAAAGUGAUUCCUCCAUUUUAAUUUGUUUUAUUUUUUGGAUAGCUCUUCUGAACCGUCUUUUGCUGUUAAAGAAAUAAGUUGCAGACUGACCAACUUUUCUUCCUUUGAAAAUAUCCCAAUCCUUGAAAACUAAAUGGUCUUCUUUAGUAGACCUAUAUUUUCUCUCGUCUAUCCAUUUAAUUUGGAAAAGGUUUUGCCCGAGCCAUUUGAGAUCUUCUCCAUAGGUUUCAAGGUUUAGGUGUUUUUUUCAAGAAAUGGUAUAAAAAUGGUUUCUUGGUCUGCUUCACGGACAUGUACAAAAGUAAUGAUCGGUAAAAUAGUUUUAACAGGGGUGGAGGACAAUUUGACAAUUAAAACAGACUUUAUUGACGAUCUAGUCAAUAAUUACACUCAAUCAAGAGUUAAUGUGAAAAUUUACAGAUUAGGGGGGGGGGGGGGAGCAUUUCGCUGAGUAUGCGUAGGCCCUCACGCACAAAGGGAUCUGAGUUCCGAGCGCAUUCAGAUGCAGCGCUGAUGAUCUCGGCAAGAGUGGUUCUCUUCUGAGUGGAGAGGCGCCUGAGGAGAGGUUCCCUAUCCACGGGGAAAAUAAUCGCCUCCACGAUGUCACCCUCUGUGACUCCUAUGUUGGAUAAGGGCUCCGAGAAGCACUCACGGCUCAACACAUAUAUAAUAUCGCCUGCCUGGUCGUAGCAGGCAUCUAUGAAUUGGGUAGACAGAGGAGGUGGAGGUGUCGCGAUGUCCGGCGACGUCCUUUCCCCGUGGAGAGCGGGUGGUGUUGGCUCGGCAGGCCGAGUCGCAGGCAGUGGGGGUGUUGGAGGCACUGCGGCUGGUGAGGUUUUCUGCUCCGCCUUGACCUGAUGUAGAACUUUGGAAUUGCCUCCGGGCCUCAGGUCAAGGAGUUGGUUAAUUACACCGGCGAGAGCAUUGCUCUGCGGGGGGUGUCAGGAGGGGUCCGCGCUUAUAGGCCCUGGUCUUCGAGGAGAGGAGGUCUAAGACUUUAAAAUCUGUAUUCAAAAGUGAUUCCUCCAUUUUAAUUUGUUUUAUUUUUUGGAUAGCUCUUCUGAACCGUCUUUUGCUGUUAAAGAAAUAAGUUGCAGACUGACCAACUUUUCUUCCUUUGAAAAUAUCCCAAUCCUUGAAAACUAAAUGGUCUUCUUUAGUAGACCUAUAUUUUCUCUCGUCUAUCCAUUUAAUUUGGAAAAGGUUUUGCCCGAGCCAUUUGAGAUCUUCUCCAUAGGUUUCAAGGUUAGGUGUUUUUUAAAGAAAUGGUAUAAAAAUGGUUUCUUGGUCUGCUUCACGGACAUGUACAAAAGUAAUGAUCGGUAAAAUAGUUUUAACAGGUCACUGAACGCCUUUUGGCAAGCUUCAUCCCAGAUCCACACGACAUCCUUUUUGAGGAGGUUAUUGAGUGGUGCUCGCAAGCGAGCGUAGUCCGGGAUGAAUUUGUUAUAGACGUUCACAGCGCCUAAAAAGGAUUGUAGUGUUUUUCGGUUGUGUGGUUGUUUAAUGGUGUGAAUGAUGUCUGUGUUGCGUGUGAGCGGUGUGGUUGUACCAGCUGUGACGGUGUAGCCUAGGAAAUCUAUGGACUGCUUAAAAAAUUUGCAUUUCGCGAAGUUAAGUUGUAACUCCUCUGCUUCGCAAAAGGCGAAAAAUUGUCGCAGGUGGUUUUGAUGUUCCUCCAAUGUGUUGGAGUAAAUGAUGAAAUCAUCAAAGUAAUGUGCCACACAGUCAAGUCCGUGUCUCUGUAGGACCUGACUAAUGCUCGUUCGUAGAUCUAAGGGCUGGUUUUUAAUCCGAAAGGUAAUCGAGUGGGUUGGUAUAACCCUUCGAGGGUGGCAAAUGCUAACAGUGGUCAAGAAUCGGGGUGUAUUGGGACCUGCCAAUAUGCAGAGGAGAUAUGUCGGCCGUGGAGAAAUACUUGGCCUGUGCGAGGCGGUCGAGGAUAUCCUCGAUUCUCGGGAGGGGAUGGACAUCAGAGCUAAUUAGCUCGUUCACCUUUCUAUAAUCGAUACAAAACCGUUUGGUCUUGUCGCGCUUAGUGACGAGGGUGACAGGGCUCGAGAAAGGUGAAAAGGAUUGCUCUAUAAUGCCAUUCUCCAGCAUUUGUUGGACUUGAUUACGGAUUUCUUGUUGGUCACAUAUCGGGACACGAUAUGGCCGUAUGGUAAUUAUUUUGUCGGAAUUCGUGGGUAUUUUUACGGGUGGAAUCCGUAAGCAUGGUAUGUUGAAUUUGUUCUGUGUGAAGAUGUGAUUGUAUCUUUGUAAAAGUGUUGUGAACUGGGGUGUAUAGAGAGGAUUGUGUGUCGUGUUGUAGCAUGUAUGUGGUAAAGGAUUUUGUUGGGUCUUAGUGUGAGUGUCGAGUUCGUGGUGUGGGUUUGUCAUGUGAUAUUUGUGUGACGACGUAUGAUCACCUAUGUGCUUGGUAUGCGAGUUGUCCCGCUGUAGGGGUAUGUUUUGGGCAUUCUGGUUACCAAUUGAAGCCGUGGUGGCAUUGUUAUUUGAGGGCAUGUAAAAAAGGCAAUUGGCCUUAGUGAAAAAAUGGCAUGUAGAUAAGGGUUUUUUUUUUCAAUGAAUGCACGCAAUGGUUGUCAUAGGCGGAAGGUUUGGCUGUAUGGUAAGAUCUUUGUGACAUCGCCUGACAUUGCCAGUAGGUGCAUACAUUUGGUACAUGGUUAAAAUGGUAGGAUGGGGUAGACAAUGGGGCGCCCAGCUGGAAUAUAGUGCAUUUAUUAAAAUCUAUUGCUAAUUUGAAUUUGUGGAGGCUAUUAAGGCUAAGAAUUCCAAAUGGUAACGGUGCAUUCACUACAUGGAAAUUCUCUCUUCGGGAUAUUUGUCCUAUGGUUAGAGGGAGAGACAGUUUACCCAUUGUUUUUGCAAAACCAUCCAGGGUUUGGAGAUCCAGUGAAUGUCUCUUAAGGGUUAACUUAGGCAGGUGAGUUUUUAACAUAUGGUAGAGGUUAUAUGGCACUAUAUUCAGGCUGGCGCCUGUAUCAAUUAAAAAGGGGCAUGGUAUAUUAGGGGCUAGUAAAAGUUUUACAGUCAGUUGGGUUAGGGAGCCUACCUCAGUCUCGAAAAGUCUGCUCUGCUGGGGUGUCUCUGGCUUGACUUGGUUGCUGGGGACUCGGGACUGGUUGCUUUGGGACUGAUUGCACUGUCCUGGCACUUUGAUAUCGGUUGCUCGGGACUGAUUGCACUGUCCGGUCUUUUUCGUGGGUCGCGGGACUGGUCGAUGCCGGCAUUCGCUGUGCCAGUGUCUCGCGCCGCAGAACUUACAGUUGGACGGUGGAAGAGGUGCAUUCCAGGCACCUGGGCGUCGAGGUGUGUUGUGGUACGGACCCGACAUCGUGGGCGGUUGGUCCUCUCUGUGUCGCGUUGUCGGUACACUGGGCCCGUGGAUCCGCUGUACCAGUCGGAACCACUCUCCUAGGUUCUCGGGAGGCACUACGCGGACUAGACGCUGGUCGGAGAAUGGCAACCCUUCUGUCAGCGUCUCGAGGAUCACCUCCUGCGGGAGUCCUAGUUGUAGCCCCAUGGCGGUUUUCUCCCGGUAGUAGGUCUCUAGGUUGGCUUGUCCAGUAAGCUUCAUGGCGAAAUAUUUCGCAAAGGACGCUUCGCUCGACUCAGGAUAGAGAUCUAAGAGGAUUUGUCUCACCUGGAAAUAGCUCCGGUCGGCCAGCCGAAGUUUCCUGAAAAGCUCCAGGGGUUGUCGCACCAGGUAGUUUGGUAGACGGAGCAGUUUUUCUUUUUCUUCUAUGGCGGCGUCUUCCAUUUUCCGGUCGAAUACUUGGAAAAACUGGAUCGCGCUGUAUGUUCCAUUGAAAGGCGAGAUUGUCGGUCCUGUAGGGUCGCAUGACCUACCCUGGGACAGCGCGGCGGUGAACUGCUGAAUGACAUCCGCUAGAGGGCCCGUCUCCUCUCUGCCGGUCAUUUCCUGUCUGCUGCCUUCUUCCCUUUCUUUCGUUGGGUCGUCCUUCUUUACGCCGAUUGAAUCUUGGUUAAUCUCCAUCUCUUUAUCCUGUCGACUUAAUCCGUCUGUCGCAAUAUCGUUGCGGAAUUUCUUGUUGUUGGAUGAGAAUGGUGUAGAUUGUUGGAAGCGCAGUCGUUUGAGUGGAAAGUGAAGCAUACAGUGGGGAAUAACCAGGACACGUGAUGGGGUUUUGGAAAUAAAAGGCAACUGGUCGGAGGAAAGAAAGGCUUUGGAGAAGAUGGAGCGGAUUGUCUAUUAACUAUCUAAUCACAUGGCGGUGAUUGACUUAGCUGAAAAGGAUGAACGGGGGAGGUCUCUAGAGCAGGUGUUACCUCGGGGGGAGCGAAGCGACAACUGACAAUUCUUGGUUCUCGAUUUAACACGAGAACCCUUCUUACUUCCCAUUGGUGGAAAGGUGUGACGUGGCGGUUCCCUAUUGGUCUACGUUACUUCUUUAUCCUAAAACAUGUCCCAGCUUGACCAGGAAGUAAUAGUUUGUUGAACUCAACUUUUUAUUAGUUCCGCGAUAAUAAAACGGGGUAUAACUUUCCUAAUGAUGGUGCUAACUUCUAAGCUUCUUUUCUAGGCCUUUCUUCUAAGUCUUUCUAUCCUCCAAUGUUAUCUUUGUUCUUUUAUUGAAACAAAUCAUACAUUUUAUACAUAUUGGAUUGACUAUUGGCAUCUAUGUAUGUACAAAUUAUGACAUAUAUAUUGCUAAAAGUAUAAAUAACAUGUACAUAAAAAAAAACAAAGCUUAAUUCUGAGUCCUAAUAUUUUUUUCAUAAAAAAAGCAUCCAAAUAGUGUAUAAAUACGGCAUUUCUGCAGCCCCCCCGACAAAAGUUCACUAAAAGAGUUAAAUAUUCUAAAAAAAAAUUUGGUAUAUAUAUUGCUAAAUGUGUAAAAAAUAUGUAUAUAAAAAAGCAAAGCUUAAUUCUAAAUUUUAAUAUUUUUUUUAUAAGAAAAGCUGCAGAAAAACAAAUAGGGAUAAUGGGAGUUAUUUUGCCAUUUUCAAAAAUUAAUUGUGAAAGAAUAAAUAAAUGAGUAAAUAGGGACAAAUAUUAAAUAGCAAAUUAUAUAUAAAGAAUGUCUUUUUUCAAUAAAUUAAUUCGAUGUAUGUAUAUAGCAAGGGCAGUCUGUACUGAAAGCAUUAUGUUGUGUGUUCAAUUUAAGUGUAGGAUUUUUACUAUUAGCUUUUUUACAGUUUAUACAAUUUUCUGUUUUUGUACAUGAAUUAGAAAUGUGGCCCUUGCUACCACAUUUCGCACAAGUGUUUUCUGAUUCUUUACAGUUUUUAUAUUUAUGAAAAUCAAGACAUUUAGUGCAUCUAUUAACAAGAAAAAUUUCCGUCCAUUUCAUUACUCUCCAUCCAAAUCUAAAUCUGUAUAAAUUAUUUUCAAUUGUUGAUCUAUUUUUCAAUUGUGAAAAUGUGUUUGAAUCAAUAUUUAUAAGCCAAUCAUUUGUUAAAUUUGUUUUUAUAUACACUAAACGGUUUUAAUUCAGCAUUAGGUAAAUUUAAACUUUCUUUGAAAUAAUCUAUUAUAUGUUCUUUGCCAAAAUCUUCUUCAACAUUUAAUAUUUUAAUUGUAGGAGACCUACCUUUGGGAACUUUUGGAAUUAGCUUGGACCUAAGAUGUUCAUUUUCAUUUAUGAAAUUUACUAUUGUGUUUACAUUUUCUAAUGUGGGAACUUCUAUUGUGCAUCCCUUUUUGUUGGGAAUAGCAUUGGCUCUAACUAUUUUUAGAUUAGACAAAGAAAUAUUUUCCUUAAGGAAUUGCACUAUAUUGGUAUUUUCAGGGAGUUUUGAUUCAAUUAAUAUUUUCCCUAUUAGAUUAGGGGAACUUUUUGGCUGGGCUAUGGAAGUUGGUGCAAUUGGUAUGUUAGAAGCCAAAGCUGCACUAUAACUUUUCUCACUUUUUUCCAUUAAUAUUUUCAAUUUUUCAUUGAUUAGAGCAUUAUUUUCACUUAUUAAAUCUUGAGUAGAUUUUUUAAAUCAUCAAUUUUUUCCUCAAAAUUUUUUUGAAUAUUUUCAAUAAUAUUUUCUUGAUUCUUUAAUAAAUCGUCCAAUUUAGUAUUAAAAGCCAUAUUUUCUACAUUUUCUGGUUAAACUUUUAUAAAUUCAUUCAUAUCUGUUUGAAUUAAAUUUAAAUUCUUUUUUUGAGCAUCCAUUUUCGGAUUUUUGGCAUUUAAGAAUGUGGAAAUAUUUCCCAUAAGUGUUUCCAGCAUAGGAAACAUUUUUUUACCUAAAGAAUUUAUCUCCAUUUUUAAAUUAAAAAGUAUACCAAACCUAAACCAAACCUAAUGGUGUUGUAGCCCAGGGGUGUGUGGACCUGGUUCAGUCAAACCUAAUGGUGUUGUAGCCCAGGGGUGUGUGGAUCUGGUUCUGUCAAACCUAAUGGUGUUGUAGCCCAGGGGUGUGUGGACCUGGUUCUUUCAAACCUAAUGGUGUUGUAGCCCAGGGGUGUGUGGAUCUGGUUCUGUCAAACCUAAUGGUGUUGUAGCCCAGGGGUGUGUGGAUCUGGUUCUGUCAAACCUAAUGGUGUUGUAGCCCAGGGGUGUGUGGAUCUGGUUCUGUCAAACCUAAUGGUGUUGUAGCCCAGGGGUGUGUGGAUCUGGUUCUGUCAAACCUAAUGGUGUUGUAGCCCAGGGGUGUGUGGACCUGGUUCUUUCAAACCUAAUGGUGUUGUAGCCCAGGGGUGUGUGGACCUGGUUCUGUCGAACCUAAUGGUGUUGUAGCCCUGGGGUGUGUGGACCUGGUUCUUUCAAACCUAAUGGUGUUGUAGCCAAGGGGUGUGUGGACCUGGUUCUAUCGAACCUAAUGGUGUUGUAGCCCAGGGGUGUGUGGACCUGGUUCUGUCGAACCUAAUGGUGUUGUAGCCCAGGGGUGUGUGGACCUGGUUCUUUCAAACCUAAUGGUGUUGUAGCCCAGGGGUGUGUGGACCUGGUUCAGUCAAACCUAAUGGUGUUGUAGCCCAGGGGUGUGUGGAUCUGGUUCUGUCAAACCUAAUGGUGUUGUAGCCCAGGGGUGUGUGGACCUGGUUCUUUCAAACCUAAUGGUGUUGUAGCCCAGGGGUGUGUGGAUCUGGUUCUGUCAAACCUAAUGGUGUUGUAGCCCAGGGGUGUGUGGAUCUGGUUCUGUCAAACCUAAUGGUGUUGUAGCCCAGGGGUGUGUGGAUCUGGUUCUGUCAAACCUAAUGGUGUUGUAGCCCAGGGGUGUGUGGAUCUGGUUCUGUCAAACCUAAUGGUGUUGUAGCCCAGGGGUGUGUGGACCUGGUUCUUUCAAACCUAAUGGUGUUGUAGCCCAGGGGUGUGUGGACCUGGUUCUGUCGAACCUAAUGGUGUUGUAGCCCUGGGGUGUGUGGACCUGGUUCUUUCAAACCUAAUGGUGUUGUAGCCAAGGGGUGUGUGGACCUGGUUCUAUCGAACCUAAUGGUGUUGUAGCCCAGGGGUGUGUGGACCUGGUUCUGUCGAACCUAAUGGUGUUGUAGCCCAGGGGUGUGUGGAUCUGGUUCUGUCGAACCUAAUGGUGUUGUAGCCCAGGGGUGUGUGGACCUGGUUCUGUCGAACCUAAUGGUGUUGUAGCCCAGGGGUGUGUGGACCUGGUUCUUUCAAACCUAAUGGUGUUGUAGCCAAGGGGUGUGUGGACCUGGUUCUGUCGAACCUAAUGGUGUUGUAGCCCUGGGGUGUGUGGACCUGGUUCUGUCGAACCUAAUGGUGUUGUAGCCCUGGGGUGUGUGGACCUGGUUCUUUCAAACCUAAUGGUGUUGUAGCCAAGGGGUGUGUGGACCUGGUUCUGUCGAACCUAAUGGUGUUGUAGCCCAGGGGUGUGUGGACCUGGUUCUGUCGAACCUAAUGGUGUUGUAGCCCUGGGGUGUGUGGACCUGGUUCUUUCAAACCUAAUGGUGUUGUAGCCAAGGGGUGUGUGGACCUGGUUCUAUCGAACCUAAUGGUGUUGUAGCCCAGGGGUGUGUGGACCUGGUUCUGUCGAACCUAAUGGUGUUGUAGCCCAGGGGUGUGUGGAUCUGGUUCUGUCGAACCUAAUGGUGUUGUAGCCCAGGGGUGUGUGGACCUGGUUCUGUCGAACCUAAUGGUGUUGUAGCCCAGGGGUGUGUGGACCUGGUUCUUUCAAACCUAAUGGUGUUGUAGCCAAGGGGUGUGUGGACCUGGUUCUGUCGAACCUAAUGGUGUUGUAGCCCUGGGGUGUGUGGACCUGGUUCUGUCGAACCUAAUGGUGUUGUAGCCCUGGGGUGUGUGGACCUGGUUCUUUCAAACCUAAUGGUGUUGUAGCCAAGGGUGUGUGGACCUGGUUCUGUCGAACCUAAUGGUGUUGUAGCCCAGGGGUGUGUGGACCUGGUUCUGUCGAACCUAAUGGUGUUGUAGCCCUGGGGUGUGUGGACCUGGUUCUUUCAAACCUAAUGGUGUUGUAGCCCAGGGGUGUGUGGACCUGGUUCUGUCGAACCUAAUGGUGUUGUAGCCAAGGGGUGUGUGGACCUGGUUCUGUCGAACCUAAUGGUGUUGUAGCCCAGGUGUGUGUGGACCUGGUUCUGUCAAACCUAAUGGUGUUGUAGCCAAGGGGUGUGUGGACCUGGUUCUUUCAAACCUAAUGGUGUUGUAGCCAAGGGGUGUGUGGACCUGGUUCUAUCGAACCUAAUGGUGUUGUAGCCCAGGGGUGUGUGGACCUGGUUCUGUCGAACCUAAUGGUGUUGUAGCCCAGGGGUGUGUGGAUCUGGUUCUGUCGAACCUAAUGGUGUUGUAGCCCAGGGGUGUGUGGACCUGGUUCUGUCGAACCUAAUGGUGUUGUAGCCCAGGGGUGUGUGGACCUGGUUCUUUCAAACCUAAUGGUGUUGUAGCCAAGGGGUGUGUGGACCUGGUUCUGUCGAACCUAAUGGUGUUGUAGCCCUGGGGUGUGUGGACCUGGUUCUGUCGAACCUAAUGGUGUUGUAGCCCUGGGGUGUGUGGACCUGGUUCUUUCAAACCUAAUGGUGUUGUAGCCCAGGGGUGUGUGGACCUGGUUCUGUCGAACCUAAUGGUGUUGUAGCCCUGGGGUGUGUGGACCUGGUUCUUUCAAACCUAAUGGUGUUGUAGCCAAGGGGUGUGUGGACCUGGUUCUAUCGAACCUAAUGGUGUUGUAGCCCAGGGGUGUGUGGACCUGGUUCUGUCGAACCUAAUGGUGUUGUAGCCCAGGGGUGUGUGGAUCUGGUUCUGUCGAACCUAAUGGUGUUGUAGCCCAGGGGUGUGUGGACCUGGUUCUGUCGAACCUAAUGGUGUUGUAGCCCAGGGGUGUGUGGACCUGGUUCUUUCAAACCUAAUGGUGUUGUAGCCAAGGGGUGUGUGGACCUGGUUCUGUCGAACCUAAUGGUGUUGUAGCCCUGGGGUGUGUGGACCUGGUUCUGUCGAACCUAAUGGUGUUGUAGCCCUGGGGUGUGUGGACCUGGUUCUUUCAAACCUAAUGGUGUUGUAGCCAAGGGGUGUGUGGACCUGGUUCUGUCGAACCUAAUGGUGUUGUAGCCCAGGGGUGUGUGGACCUGGUUCUGUCGAACCUAAUGGUGUUGUAGCCCUGGGGUGUGUGGACCUGGUUCUUUCAAACCUAAUGGUGUUGUAGCCAAGGGGUGUGUGGACCUGGUUCUAUCGAACCUAAUGGUGUUGUAGCCCAGGGGUGUGUGGACCUGGUUCUGUCGAACCUAAUGGUGUUGUAGCCCAGGGGUGUGUGGAUCUGGUUCUGUCGAACCUAAUGGUGUUGUAGCCCAGGGGUGUGUGGACCUGGUUCUGUCGAACCUAAUGGUGUUGUAGCCCAGGGGUGUGUGGACCUGGUUCUUUCAAACCUAAUGGUGUUGUAGCCAAGGGGUGUGUGGACCUGGUUCUGUCGAACCUAAUGGUGUUGUAGCCCUGGGGUGUGUGGACCUGGUUCUUUCAAACCUAAUGGUGUUGUAGCCAAGGGGUGUGUGGACCUGGUUCUGUCGAACCUAAUGGUGUUGUAGCCCAGGGGUGUGUGGACCUGGUUCUGUCGAACCUAAUGGUGUUGUAGCCUGGGGUGUGUGGACCUGGUUCUUUCAAACCUAAUGGUGUUGUAGCCCAGGGGUGUGUGGACCUGGUUCUGUCGAACCUAAUGGUGUUGUAGCCAAGGGGUGUGUGGACCUGGUUCUGUCGAACCUAAUGGUGUUGUAGCCCAGGUGUGUGUGGACCUGGUUCUGUCAAACCUAAUGGUGUUGUAGCCAAGGGGUGUGUGGACCUGGUUCUUUCAAACCUAAUGGUGUUGUAGCCCAGGGGUGUGUGGACCUGGUUCUUUCAAACCUAAUGGUGUUGUAGCCCCAGGGGUGUGUGGACCUGGUUCUUUCAAACCUAAUGGUGUUGUAGCCAGGGGUGUGUGGACCUGGUUCUAUCGAACCAAAUGGUGUUGUAGCCCAGGGGUGUGUGGACCUGGUUCUUUCAAACCUAAUGGUGUUGUAGCCAAGGGGUGUGUGGACCUGGUUCUGUCGAACCUAAUGGUGUUGUAGCCCUGGGGUGUGUGGACCUGGUUCUGUCGAACCUAAUGGUGUUGUAGCCCUGGGGUGUGUGGACCUGGUUCUUUCAAACCUAAUGGUGUUGUAGCCAAGGGGUGUGUGGACCUGGUUCUAUCGAACCUAAUGGUGUUGUAGCCCAGGGGUGUGUGGACCUGGUUCUGUCGAACCUAAUGGUGUUGUAGCCCAGGGGUGUGUGGAUCUGGUUCUGUCGAACCUAAUGGUGUUGUAGCCCUGGGGUGUGUGGACCUGGUUCUGUCGAACCUAAUGGUGUUGUAGCCCUGGGGUGUGUGGACCUGGUUCUUUCAAACCUAAUGGUGUUGUAGCCCAGGGGUGUGUGGACCUGGUUCUGUCGAACCUAAUGGUGUUGUAGCCAAGGGGUGUGUGGACCUGGUUCUGUCGAACCUAAUGGUGUUGUAGCCCAGGUGUGUGUGGACCUGGUUCUGUCAAACCUAAUGGUGUUGUAGCCAAGGGGUGUGUGGACCUGGUUCUUUCAAACCUAAUGGUGUUGUAGCCCAGGGGUGUGUGGACCUGGUUCUUUCAAACCUAAUGGUGUUGUAGCCCAGGGGUGUGUGGACCUGGUUCUUUCAAACCUAAUGGUGUUGUAGCCCAGGGGUGUGUGGACCUGGUUCUAUCGAACCAAAUGGUGUUGUAGCCCAGGGGUGUGUGGACCUGGUUCUUUCAAACCUAAUGGUGUUGUAGCCAAGGGGUGUGUGGACCUGGUUCUGUCGAACCUAAUGGUGUUGUAGCCCUGGGGUGUGUGGACCUGGUUCUGUCGAACCUAAUGGUGUUGUAGCCCUGGGGUGUGUGGACCUGGUUCUUUCAAACCUAAUGGUGUUGUAGCCAAGGGGUGUGUGGACCUGGUUCUGUCGAACCUAAUGGUGUUGUAGCCCAGGGGUGUGUGGACCUGGUUCUGUCGAACCUAAUGGUGUUGUAGCCCUGGGGUGUGUGGACCUGGUUCUUUCAAACCUAAUGGUGUUGUAGCCAAGGGGUGUGUGGACCUGGUUCUGUCGAACCUAAUGGUGUUGUAGCCCUGGGGUGUGUGGACCUGGUUCUUUCAAACCUAAUGGUGUUGUAGCCAAGGGGUGUGUGGACCUGGUUCUGUCGAACCUAAUGGUGUUGUAGCCCAGGUGUGUGUGGACCUGGUUCUGUCAAACCUAAUGGUGUUGUAGCCAAGGGGUGUGUGGACCUGGUUCUUUCAAACCUAAUGGUGUUGUAGCCCAGGGGUGUGUGGACCUGGUUCUUUCAAACCUAAUGGUGUUGUAGCCCUGGGGUGUGUUGACCUGGUUCUGUCAAACCUAAUGGUGUUGUAGCCCAGGGGUGUGUGGACCUGGUUCUUUCAAACCUAAUGGUGUUGUAGCCCAGGGGUGUGUGGACCUGGUUCUAUCGAACCAAAUGGUGUUGUAGCCCAGGGGUGUGUGGAUCUGGUUCUUUCAAACCCAAUGGUGUUUUAGCCCAGGGGUGUGUGGACCUGGUUCUAUCGAACCAAAUGGUGUUGUAGCCCAGGGGUGUGUGGACCUGGUUCUUUCGAACCCAAUGGUGUUGUAGCCCAGGGGUGUGUGGAUCUGGUUCUUUCAAACCCAAUGGUGUUUUAGCCCAGGGGUGUGUGGACCUGGUUCUGUCGAACCCAAUGGUGUUGUAGCCCAGGGGUGUGUGGAUCUGGUUCUGUCAAACCUAAUGGUGUUGUAGCCCAGGGGUGUGUGGAUCUGGUUCUGUCGAACCUAAUGGUGUUUUAGCCCAGGGGUGUGUGGAUCUGGUUCUGUCGAACCUAAUGGUGUUGUAGCCCAGGGGUGUGUGGAUCUGGUUCUGUCAAACCUAAUGGUGUUGUAGCCAAGGGGUGUGUGGACCUGGUUCUGUCGAACCUAAUGGUGUUGUAGCCCAGGUGUGUGUGGAUCUGCUUCUGUCAAACCUAAUGGUGUUGUAGCCCUGGGGUGUGUGGAUCUGGUUCUUUCAAACCCAAUGGUGUUUUAGCCCAGGGGUGUGUGGACCUGGUUCUGUCGAACCCAAUGGUGUUGUAGCCCAGGGAUGUGUGGGCCUGGUUCUGUCAAACCUAAUGGUGUUGUAGCCCAGGGGUGUGUGGAUCUGGUUCUGUCAAACCUAAUGGUGUUGUAGCCCAGGGAUGUGUGGGCCUGGUUCUGUCAAACCUAAUGGUGUUGUAGCCCAGGGGUGUGUGGAUCUGGUUCUGUCAAACCUAAUGGUGUUGUAGCCAGUGCUGUAGUCGAAAAAUUAGCAUAGGGUAUACGCUUGAGAAUAUAAAUUUUUGGUAAAAAUAAACAAGGUUAUUUUUAAUUAUAUUUUUAUUUGAAAAAAAGAUGUAAAAUGUUACAUACAACUUUUACAUAAAAAUGGCCCAUAAUGACUGCCGAGAUGCAUCUGUAUUUUUUCUGGCACAAACUCUUGAUCUAGUGUCAGUAGAUGAUCUAUGAUGUAAAAGCCAUGAUUGAACGUAUUUUUUCGUCUGAAACAUUUCGAUUGGUGGUCCAUUUGAAUUUAUGAACAUUAAGUUCGAAACAUUUGGUAUUAGCAAAGAAGUCCGCAAGUUUGUUAUUAUAUCAUUCAUCAGGCUGAAACCUCACUCACAUUCAGCUGUUGAACAGGGCAAUGUUGAAAUUGCCCUGAAAAAUGGUUGAAGUGUUUCGGGAACAUUGUUUUUAUCAUCAACAAAAUCUCUCAAGCCGUUAAUGCAUUUCAUUUCAUCUAAGUUAAACCUUCGACAAAUACGUCUCAUUUCGACCUCUCCAUAUCGAACAUUUUCUGCGUCAAAAUUGUUUGGUUCUAGAGCUGAAAUAUCCUUAAUUAAUUGCUCAUUAGUUUUCAGCCGCUUCAAGAGCUAGCAAUGGUGUUGUAGCCCAGGGGUGUGUGGACCUGGUUCUGUCGAACCUAAUGGUGUUGUAGCCCAGGGGUGUGUGGACCUGGUUCUGUCGAACCUAAUGGUGUUGUAGCCAAGGGGUGUGUGGAUCUGGUUCUGUCAAACCUAAUGGUGUUGUAGCCCAGGGGUGUGUGGACCUGGCUCGGACAAGCCCAGACAUUGCCUAUGCAGUAAGUCAAUUGGCUCGCUAUUGUUCAAAGUACACUAGAAAACACUGGGUUGCUCUCUCUCUCUCUCUGCGAAACAAAUUUUAAGAUACUUAAAAUCUUCAUAGCAUCUAGGCAUCACCUAUAGACGGACUGGAAAACAACUGUGUGUCUAUUCGGAUGCAGAUUGGGGAACCAACCUGGAAGACAGAAAGAGCACAUCGGGUUAUGUAGUGAUGUUUGCAGGCACUCCAAUCCUAUGGCGAAGUUCAAAGCAAACUGUCACCGCCCUCAGCACAAUGGAGGCGGAAUACAUUUCCCUAUCAUCGUCAUUCAGGGAAGUGACAUGGAUCAGGGAGUUCCUGAACCAUUUGGACCAUCCAGGUUCUUCAAACUGGGAGUCUGAGCAAUUUUCGCCCUUAGCUCCUUAACAGAGAGAUCAGCGGAGGCCAACUUUACAUGGUUGGCACUGUUACGCAGAGUCUGCGCGUAGCUGGUCCGAGAAGGCUUGGUCGGCUUAGCACUGACAUUGGCUGGCGGCGUGGUUUUCGUCACAGAGGGUGAUUUUGGGAGUUGAAUUGGCAGCGGGUUUUGCUGCGGGAGUGGAGAUAGCGGCUGUAGCGACCUUAAGCUUUUUUUCGUAAGCCUCUCGGAGUUCCUCCGUUUUUAAGUCACAAGCUUUGAGUUUUCUAGAUAGUAUCCCAAAAACGGAGUUUUCUAGGCUUGAAAGCAUACCGCGGACCUUAUCGAAAAUGGUACAGUAAGGAGCUGUGCCUUGUUCCCCUUUUAAAGCCAUUUCUAUUUCCCCAACAACCAUCCGGGUGCACCCUGUGAAACACGUAUUAAUCUCUUCCCGCCCUUCCCUAAAAGCCUGAUUCGAGUCAAGUGGCCCUAUAGGAGCAGGAGAUAUCCGGGGAAACUCACCAUCAGGAAAUAACUCCGUAGUCAUAGGCCGGCUCCAGUGCCAGGAGGGUUCGUCGACCGAGCGUCGCUUUUUUAUGUAUUGAUGCAUCACAGCCUCUAGCCAGAAAGGGUCCAUUGUGCCAGCGGCAGGUCCAGUCAAGGCAGGGUCCGAGGAGCCUCGCGUGUAAGCUAUCGGGUAUCUUGUAACUCAAAUCUGUGUGGCUCAUGCAGAACAUGAAACACGAAUGAAAAUUCUGCGACCCCUCAGCUAUAUACACUUGGUUCUUUUUUAUGCAGUAGAUGCGUUCCAGGGGAAUCCGCAUAAAAAAAAAUCGCACAAAAAAAGACAUACAUUUAUAUGUAAAAUGAUGGAUACGUUCCAUUUAUUAAAAAAAUCGCAUAAAACCUAAAUAAUGUUUUAAAAUGCACCAGAAAUCGCAUAAAAAAAAGAUUUAUAAAUAAUAAGAUUUAAUUUUUUUCUCAUCAUAUUUUAAUAAAUGGCACAUAUGUGUGUUAAUAACAAAAACAAAACUUAAUAUGUAAAAAAAAAAAAAAAACAUAAAGAAAACUUUAUUUAAUAUCAUAUUAAGAAUGUUUUCAUCAUUAUUCGCUGUCUGAUAAUGUGCGAACCCGUUUGUGGACUAUUAAAGUGCCUCUUGAAUAUGAUGAAAUUUUAGAACUCAAAUUUGUACCAGAUCUGACUGAUCUUAUUGCCGCUUCAUUUUUUUUUAUUGCUCUUAUAGUAGAUUCGCCUAAAUUAUAACGUUUACCUAUUGCUGUUGAUCUUUCUCCUUUCGCCAAGCAAUCGAGAAUUAUAAUUUUGGUUUCUAGCGAAAUUGCACCUCUUUUUUAUUUUUAUUAUUGUCACACAUUUUCUUUAAGAGGACUAAAAAUUAUAGAAAAAACUUAAUGUACAAUUACGCACUAAAAUUAUUCAAAAAAACUUACAAUUCACUUGAGUAAAUUUAUCUUCCGGUUUUCGGUAGUAACCUUCUUUCACAAAGUUUUAUUUUCUAAUGCUUUCCAAUAUGCAGGCUUUUUUAAUUAGUUUCAUACAAAAACAAAAUGCAGCAUAAAAACACACAAUUUUAACGAGGUAUUUUUGUUUUUGUCUCUUUUGUUUUUAAGAACAAAUCAAGAGAAAACAUGUCAAUAAAAGAAAAAAGAAAUUUGUAACGGCAGCUGGCACGCCGGCGGGUUUUCAGUUUUGAUUUCGGUUUUGCACGAGUUGUGUAAGACACCGGCAGGCGCAGAAUAAAAGACAUUGGAACUUCCCCUCUACUGUUUGUUGGAUAACUUAACAUACAACCAGGAUGUUACAAAAUUCUUUCUUUGUAUUGAUUGCGUAAUAGUAGAGUUGUAGUUGUUAUUCUUAUUCGUUUUCAGAAAAAGUGAAUAACCAAAAAAAAAUUUUCGAAAUUCGAAUACAUUUUUUUUUUCUUGCACCGCAUAACUCCAAAACCGCAUAAAAAAAACGCAUAAAAAGAGAACAAAGUGUAUAUUUUGUGUGUGUGUGUGGCAAACAGACUGUCAUCUAAUGCUCUUAACUAAAAUAAGCUUCAUUUGUUUACCUUUCCUUAGAAAGAGAAGCUUUGUUUUUCAUAUCUGAGGAUAUAGCCAUGUUGAAUAACCUCCAUUGAAUAAGUCCAUGUGUGCGAGGAAUGAGGUUUCGGCAGCUUUGAUGUCCGGGCAGGAGAGUGAGUCUGCCCGGUGUUGGUUGCUGCAGCGGAAGCUUUUGAGGGGAAUGGCGGUGCAGUUGGUGGCCCACAGUGGAAGUACUUGGGUGGUCUGUUGCUGAUGAUGUUGCGGUGACGUAGGUCCCUGCAAUUGCGGCAGGGGUGUGUGGAUUGGGUCCGCUCAAAACAGAAAUUACACACCUUCCGCUGUAAGCUUGAAGGCAAGCUUUUUCAGAGAAAACCUUGAAGACAAUCACAACACAGCCAUCUAGGUAACAGGCCCGUUGGAGGAAAAGGAAUUCUGGUAGACACAAGUAGAUUGUGGGAGCAUCGACAAUGGGAAGUGAAAGCUUUGGAGAGUUGGAUAGGGGUCGUGGCUGAGGGAAAAAGGCUUCGCCAAAGAACACUGGAGUCGGCCAACUCAGAGAGGGUGGUUGGAAUUUAAAUCUCUCUUCAGAAACUGGCUUGUUGGAAUAAGCUUCUUUCUUCGUCCAAGUUUCCAACAGAAUCUCUUCUGGAGGAAAUAAAUUUAAGCAACCGUGCUUUAUUUGACCAUCUGUCAAAAAAUUACCUUGUGGAAAUUGAUUGAUUUUAAAGUCUAUCCUGUCAAGAAGGGCGUCAGGACAACAUGAUGGCGAAAGACAAAUAGUACACAGAGGGAUUGACAUGGCAUUAACUUCACAUUGAACAAACAGCAUUCACACACGACAAAUGUUCAUCACCUGUUUUCCCCACAUUAUAGUUGAAAAUUUGCCAUUUGGCCCUACCUGAAGCGCGUCCACAGUGGUCCUUGCUUGUAUACCAACCUGAAGGUCAUCAGUAUCUCUUCAGUUAUUUGGAAGUUCUUCUCAUUUAUAUGCACAAAUUGUGCAACAUUUGUUCCAACAUUGUGAGCUAUUUCUUGUAUACAAAUAAAAUGUGCCCUGUCAUUUGUGAUCAUCUAUAAAUUUUGUUCACAGAAUAUGCUCCCCCCAAUGUUGGGUUAGAAUCUUGUCAGGGGAAAAUUUGUAGAUUUCACCAGAAUUUUAUUACUACUUCUAGUGUUUUUUUUUUUAAUUGAAAUUUCUUAGUCCUCAAAGUAUUAAUGCCUUGUAUAUUUUGAGUAUUUUAUAAAAGCCUUAGAGAUUGAAUUGUCCUUAUUUCAUUUCCUUUUGGCCCCAUAUAAGAGCUAUCCAGAAUAUUAAAUGUUAAUGUGAUAAAUUGUUGUGGUUUACAAUACAUACAUUAUCCCAUAAUAUCAUUAAGAGGAGUCUACUCAUUGUAGAAUUUGUUGUGGGUCCUGUUCUAGUCUGGUGGCUUCCAUGCAUGUCUACCCACCCAUAUAGUGGAUGUACUUUGACACAAUUGUAAUCAUGGGCCAGGUUUGUGGUGGUUGGAAUGUCGCCAGGACUUCGCAGUGUGACCUCUAUAUUGUCGCUAGAUUAGAUUUCUUUCUCGGGGACCAUGCUGACCCAACUAAUUCAAGUCUGGAAACCAUAGCCUUUAAUUGGUGCAAUUAUGUGGUUAUUUAAUUGAAUUUUCCCUUUUAACACUUUGCUAUAUAGAUUCUAAAAGGAUUUUGAAACAUAACAAACAAAAAGACACUAUACACAACAUAAACAAAAAGUUUUUAUUUAUAAUGUUUGUAUUAUCAGUAAGGUUGACCCAAAUAGGUACUGUAAAUAAUGUCAUUAUGAUACCAGACACUUGUUAGAUAUGACAAUGGAAUUGUUAACAUAUAUUUAUGAUCUGUAUAUAGUGGCCUCUCUAGUUGAUUAGCUAGCUAUGCAAAUUUACUUACUUAUUUCUUUGUAAUUAUGUAAAUAAUUUCACCCUUCAUAUAUGUAAAAUAUUUUUGUUUAAUAAAUUCCAAUAAUGAGAAUGGUGUCUUUAUUUACAUCCUGGCAAUGCAACAUCUACACAGUCAUCUUCCAUUGAAUGGGGAAUAUUUAGAGCUCUUUCCACCUUUAUCCCACACCUUGAUGGUUGCCAGCAUUGAUACAACAGUCUGUUGUUCUUUCUACAAGGGUGGAUCAAUGAUAAACAAUAAAAGUUUAAUAGAAAAGGAAACAAAUGUAUAUACACUUUUAAAUUGAACUCUGUUGUUAUAUUAG